rnacentral:misc_RNA from 1 species
GAUGAAGAACGUAGCGAAAUGCGAUAAGUAAUGUGAAUUGCAGAAUUCAGUGAAUCAUCGAAUCUUUGAACGCACAUUGCGCCCGCCAGUAUUCUGGCGGGCAUGCCUGUCCGAGCGUCAUUUCAACCCUCGAACCCCUCCGGGGGGUCGGCGUUGGGGAUCGGCACUUACCUGCCGGCCCCGAAAUACAGUGGCGGUCUCGCCGCAGCCUCUCCUGCGCAGUAGUUUGCACACUCGCACCGGGAGCGCGGCGCGUCCACGGCCGUAAAACAACCCAAACUUCUGAAAUGUUGACCGCGGAUCAGGUAGGAAUACCCGCUGAACUUAAGCAUAUCAAUAAGCGGAGGA